UGGAGAGCAGAAAAUCGACUCGCCAGGUCCGAGUUGUGUCGUCGUGUUUUACGGAGCGGUGAAACGUCUCGCUGGUCCCCGGUAGUGCCGUGCUCUAGUAAAUGGCUGCCGCGAUGGUACCGGAGAAGCCACCCUGGAACGACCCUCUGUGCAGUGACAUAAUUAAUAACGUUCUCCGAUUGAGCAUUCGGCGGUUUAAAUAAAUAUGAGCCGAUACCGCUUUAUUCCACCGUGUUAUCUCCUCGACUAACAGAGCCAUACGGUAGGUCACAUAUAGAAAUCAUCUACACCAUUCCUGAUCCUACGUCACAUCCUGUAUUACACUGUAGAGCUGCAUUCUGAGGCUUCGGAGCUGAAAUCUCCCAACAUUCCCUGCUCGUUCUGCCGCUUCUUGGAAGGGUCAUGAGACUCGCAUGAGAAACAAACCGCCCCAAUGACGGGGAAGGGUCUCUGACAACAAGCGUGCUGACUGUUUCCAUUAUUAGCUUCAGAUCUAGGAGUGUGACAGUUAAAGGGCAUCUGUCAGCAGUUCUGUCCCUAUGGCACCGGCUGACCUGUUACAUGUGCGCUCGGCGGCUGAAGGCAUCUGUGUUGCGCCCA